UACGAAGGGGGCUAGCGUUGUUCGGAAUUACUUGGCGUAAAGCGCGCGCAGGCGGCCUUUCAAGUCAGUGGUGAAAGCCCGGAGCUCAACUCCGGAACUGCCAUUGAAACUGUUUGGCUUGAGUACGAGAGAGGUGAGUGGAAUUCCCAGUGUAGAGGUGAAAUUCGUAGAUAUUGGGAAGAACACCGGUGGCGAAGGCGGCUCACUGGCUCGUUACUGACGCUCAGGCGCGACAGCGUGGGGAUCAAACAGG
rnacentral:rRNA from 1 species